GCGGGCAUUCGGAUGCUAUUACCGCCAUGCGAGUCAUUGCAGCAAUGCAAGGCAGACGGCUCAGUAACACGUACUCUAUCUAACCUAUGGACGGGGAUAACCUCGGGAAACUGAGCUUAAUACCCGAUAGGUCACCAUGCCUGGAAUGGUUUGUGGCCAAAAUGAUUCGUCGCCGUAGGAUGGGACUGCGGUCUAUCAGCUUGUUGGUGAGGUAAUGGCCCACCAGGUUUAUACAGAUACGGGCUCUGAGAAGAGAGGCCGGAGAUGGGUACUGAGACACGGACCCAGGCCUAUGGGGCGCCACAAGCGAAAAACUUUUGCAUGGGCGAAAGGACCACCAAGGUUAUCCCAAUGUUUUCUGGCUAAAAAAACUUUUAACCGGCCUUAAACCACCGGAAAAAAAAGGGGUGGGUAAUAUCUGGUGUCAGCCCCCGCGGUAAAACCAGCACCUCCAGUGGUCAGGAGGAAUAUUGGGCCUAAAACAUCCCUAAGCCUGCCGGGUAAGUUUUCGGUUAAAUCUAUGCGCUCAACGCAUAGGCUGCCGCGGAUACUGCAAAGCUAGGGAGUGGGAGAGGUAGACGGUACUCGGUAGGAAAGGGUAAAAUCCUUUGAUCUAUUGAUGACCACCUGUAGCGAAGGCGGGCUAACAGAAAACGUUCGAACGUGAGGGAAGAAAACUGGGGAACAAACCGGAUUAAAUCCCCGGGUAGUCCCAGCUGUAAACUAUGCAAACUCAGUGAUGCAUUGGCUUGUGGGCAAUGCAGUGCUGCAGGGAAGCCGUAAGUUUGCCGCCUGGGAAGUACGUACGCAAGUAUGAAACUCAAAUGAUUG
rnacentral:rRNA from 1 species